GGAAUAUUGGGCAAUGGGGGAAACCCUGACCCAGCAAUACCGCGUGAAGGACGAAGGUUUUCGGAUUGUAAACUUCUGUUAUAAAGGAAGAAAAAAAUGACGGUACUUUAUAAGUAAGCCCCGGCAAACUAUGUGCCAGCAGCCGCGGUGAUACAUAGGGGGCAAGCGUUGUCCGGAAUGACUGGGUGUAAAGGGUGCGUAGGCGGCUUUUCAAGUUAAAAGUGAAAGCCCGGGGCUCAACUCCGGAACUGCUUUUAAUACUGGAUGGCUUGAGUGUGGGAGAGGUAAGUGGAACUCCUAGUGUAGCGGUGGAAUGCGUAGAUAUUAGGAAGAACAUCAGAGGCGAAGGCGACUUACUGGAACAUUACUGACGCUGAGACACGAAAGCGUGGGGAGCAAACA
rnacentral:rRNA from 1 species